rnacentral:rRNA from 1 species
AUUGAACGCUGGCGGCAUGCCUUACACAUGCAAGUCGAACGGUAACAGGUCUUCGGAUGCUGACGAGUGGCGAACGGGUGAGUAAUACAUCGGAACGUGCCUAGUAGUGGGGGAUAACUACUCGAAAGGGUGGCUAAUACCGCAUGAGAUCUACGGAUGAAAGCAGGGGAUCGCAAGACCUUGUGCUACUAGAGCGGCCGAUGGCAGAUUAGGUAGUUGGUGGGAUAAAAGCUUACCAAGCCGACGAUCUGUAGCUGGUCUGAGAGGACGAUCAGCCACACUGGGACUGAGACACGGCCCAGACUCCUACGGGAGGCAGCAGUGGGGAAUUUUGGACAAUGGGCGCAAGCCUGAUCCAGCAAUGCCGCGUGCAGGAUGAAGGCCUUCGGGUUGUAAACUGCCUUUGUACGGAACGAAAAGCCCUGGGUUAAUACCCUGGGGUCAUGACGGUACCGUAAGAAUAAGCACCGGCUAACUACGUGCCAGCCGCCGCAGUAACAC